ensembl:misc_RNA Y_RNA Y RNA
AUCAGGCUCCAGUGCAGUGGUGUUUACAACUAAUUAAUCACAACCAGUUACAGAUUUAUUUGACCUCUUUCCGCUCUGACUGCUUCAUUUGACUAGAUUUGA